GUUGGUGAACCAGCGGAGGGAU
rnacentral:rRNA from 13 species